rnacentral:rRNA from 1 species
GAUGAACGCUGGCGGCGUGCCUAAUACAUGCAAGUCGAGCGAACAGACGAGGAGCUUGCUCCUCUGACGUUAGCGGCGGACGGGUGAGUAACACGUGGAUAACCUACCUAUAAGACUGGGAUAACUUCGGGAAACCGGAGCUAAUACCGGAUAAUAUAUUGAACCGCAUGGUUCAAUAGUGAAAGACGGUUUUGCUGUCACUUAUAGAUGGAUCCGCGCCGCAUUAGCUAGUUGGUAAGGUAACGGCUUACCAAGGCAACGAUGCGUAGCCGACCUGAGAGGGUGAUCGGCCACCCUGGAACUGAGCCACGGUCCCGACUCCUACGGGAGGCAGCAGUCGGGACUCUUCCGCAAUGGGCGAAAGCCUGACGGUGCAACGCCGCGUGAGUGCUGAAGGUCUUCGGAUCGUAAAGCUCUGUUAUUAGGGAAGAACAAAUGUGUAAGUAACUAUGCACGUAUUGACGGUACCUAAUCAGAAAGCCCCGGCUAACUACGUG